rnacentral:lncRNA from 1 species
AUUUCAUGGAUGUUCCAGUCAUCAGAGACAACACCUCUGAGCAGGAGAAAUUGGUGUCUUAUGUAAAGCCUAUGAGAACAAAUUUUGGCAUCUUCCAGAAAAUGAUAUACAAAGCAUUUCUAUCGUUUAGAACCAUAUAUCAUCUCAUAUAUGUAUUCCUUUAUGCUACUACCAGUCUUAAUUUGUUUGGGUUUGUCUUCUUGAUGUACGUUUGAAAGAAAUAAAAGUGCUACCUGCUAAGUGGCAUUGGUAAUUAGAUGGAGUUAUGGAUUUAAAUCUUUGUUAUUGAUUUGAGUUUAUCUUAAAACAUAAGUGUGUAUGUAAGUGUUUGAGAGAGUGGCCUACCUCUAAAUUGUUUGGAGCUUAUUUUAAUGAGUUCUUUAUAUUAGCUUAUGAAUAAGAGCUUAUGCUUAUAUAUAUAUAUAUAUAUAUAUAUAUAUAUAUAUAAUGUAUGAUAUGAGAAAUGUGUUCUUAUAUAAGAAAAUAAGAAUAAAUUAUGAUCGUUAGAUCUAAUCACGAAUGAUCAAGAUUAAAACAAUUUAAUGCUCGCAUGACCACUUAAAAAUGUCAUGUGACUUUUAUAAAAUGUCACAUGACUCAAUGUUUUAAUCUUGACUAUUCAUGAUUAGAUCUAACAAUAAUGAUUUAUUCUUAUUUUCUCAUAUAAGAACAUCUUUCUUAUAUGAUACAUCCUCUCUCACACACACACAAACACAUCCACACACACACACACACACAUAUAUAUAUAUAUAUAUAUAUAUAUAUAUUCUAUUUUCAGCUCAUUCUAAUAAGCUUAUCAAAUUAACUUAUGAAUAAGCGAUUAUUAUCAUAAACGUAACUAAAUUAUAUACUCGAACAUGCUCUUAAGAUUUAAUUUCACUUUUGAUCCCCUAGUUCUGACUGUGUGUCUUUAGUCCCCCAAUUAUUUUUUUUUGACAAAUUUAGUCAUCAACUUUCUAAUUGUUGCAAACCAAGUUGCUCUAUCAUUAUUACUUGAUUUAUGUUUUUUUUAGGAUAAAUCAGCUAAGGCAAUCUAAGAGAAAUUGGAGAAAAACUAUGGAGAUUUCAAAUGGUAGAUGACUCUAACGCGCCCCUCUUAUGCAAAAGCUCGUAUGAGCUUGAAGUGUGGAGAAUGCACAGACACACCUAUCAUGUGCUAUUAUUAUUUUUUUAUUAGAAGAAUUGAGAGCGACGAUGAUUGAAGUCUAGAACACUUGAUCAUUAAGGCUCUAAUAAUGUUAAAAACCAAUUAUCUCAAAAACUUAAGUUGUUGGGUAAUUAUCACAUGAAUUGAUGACAGUGUUUUUUCUUUUCUUUUAGUGAUUCAUCUUUGACACAAAUAGCCAUAAAAUAACAAGUGAUUGCCAGUAAUUGUUUUGACUGGGCAAAAAUAGCUUAGCUUUUUGGGAAGAACAAUUUAACACACCCAAAAAAAAACUUUUGCUAAAAAAUAAAUUUCUUUCUUUUCUUAUGUUAUUUAUUAUCCACAUCAAUUUUUUUUUCAUUUCUUUUUCUCACCUAAAAAUUUUUAUUUUUCACCUCUUUCACUCUACUCAUUUUUUUUCUUCUUGUUUUCACUCCUAAACCAAGCAAAGCAAAAAGGUCGGUUUGGUUUACUGUUACAUAAAAUUAUGUUGGAUAAAAUGAAAUUGAUAUAAUUAUGUUUGAUAAAAUUAAAUUCACAAGAAUGAAUAUAUAUUUGAGAAUGAUGUGUAAAAGUAAGUUUAAAAAAUAAAUGUUAUUUAAAUGGAAUAAAAUGAAAUCAUAGAUAAAAAUUCUAAAAUGGAUAUAAGACAAUGAAUAUAAUAUAAAGGUAGAUUUCAAAUUGGGUAAUAUUGUAAUCUCAAAACACAUUUUUUCUUUAACAUAAAAUUUAUAUGUGAAGACAUUUUUUUAUUACAAAUGCAUUCCAUUCUUUUCCAUGCACACCAGAUAAAAUCGAAUCACAUUCUAAAUGUUUACAGCACUAAAAUAUCUAUCAAUCAUGAUGAGAAUUGUUAAUCCGCGAAGACAUAUACCAAUUGACUAAGCAAUAACCAUCUCAACUAUGUAUUCUAUCUUCCAUGCCAAGACAUUUCAUUUGGCAUCGGUGUCAUCUAUAUCUUGUCUGCAAGUUGUUAGAAAUUUUAAUUUUUUUUAUUGUAAUGUUGAUUAUGUAUUGUUUCUUUUACUCCACCUAUAUUUAAGUUGUAGGUUAUAAUUUUUUAUCUUUUAAUGUAGUCCAAAUUCACACCUCGAAUUCUGUGUUUUCUUUCCUUCCUUCUUUCAUUCCCUCCAUUCAACCAUUAGUGCUUUAAAGUGAGCAUGGAAAAAGCCCAAUUAAAAAAAAUAAGUUUAUUUAUUAGUUGGUGAUUUAAGCACUGACGACAUUCAAAGUUGUUCCAUCCCGUCAUCACCUUAUGAACACUUGCAAAAUAAAAUAAUAAAAAAGUAUCAUUAGAUUAAAAAACAUGCACAUAUCCCUGAUAUGCAUGAACUAUGAAGGAAGCUUCACAUAUGAUUUUGUCCUAGUGUUUGUUCCUCUGACCAUUACUUUGUUAACAAUUUGUAUUUUUCUUUUGACAUUUGAACUUGCUGAACAAGUUAGAGGACUCAAUGGAUCAUUAUAUUUCUAUUUCUAUAUAAAGACUUUGAGUUUAGUGUUGGUUAAGGCAAACACAGGCUAAAAUGGCAGAUUUGAAACUCCAUGGAUUUUGGUAUAGUCCUUUUACUUUCAGGGUGCUAUGGACCCUAAAGCUGAAGGGCAUACCAUUUGAGUACAUUGAGGAAGAUCGCUUCAACAAGAGUCCUCAACUUCUUCAAUACAACCCAGUGCACAAGAAAACUCCAGUGUUCGUUCAUGAUGGAAAACCCAUAUGUGAAUCCAUGAUCAUUGUUGAAUACAUUGAUGAGUUAUGGACACAGAAUCCACUAGUUCCUUCUGAUCCUCAUGUGAAAGCUGUGGCACGGUUUUGGGUUAGAUAUGUCGAGGAUAUGGUACAUUUUUACAAACUUAGCAUCUAUAUAUAUAUUGUGAUCAUGUAUGCUCAUAACAUGUCAGGAUCAUAAUCAAUGCUGUCAUUCAGAAAUUACUUACACAAGUACUUCUUUAGAAUUGAUUUUGAUUUUAGAAUAAAUUGUGUAAGAAUUUACAAACAAGCAGCUUUUAGUUACACAAUAAUGUUCAAUUUACAUUUCAGUUUUAAUUAAUUAAGUUUACCUUGUAACUUUUUCUCAAUACUUUCUAAACAUCCUAUAUGUUUUUUACAGAUUUCUGCAGUUGCAUCACCACUCUUUCGUAGCAAUGGCAGUGCAGAGCGAGAGAAGGUUAUAAAGGAUAUAUGGGAGCGAUUCGGAGUUAUUGAGGAUCAGUGUUUGGGUGAUAAGAAAUUCCUUGGAGGAGACACUUUGAACAUUGUGGACAUAGCUUUUGGGUCUUUUGUGAAAUUUCUUGUGUUUAUGGGAGAUGUGGUUGAAGUGGAGAUCCUAGAAGCUGAGAAAUUCCCUCGUUUGCAUACAUGGUUUAACAAUUUCAUGGAUGUUCCGGUCAUCAGAGACAACACCCCUGAGCAUGAGAAAUUGGUGGCUUUGAUGAAGUCUCUAAGAGAACAAAUUUUGGCACCUUCCAGAAAAUGAUAUACAAAGCAUUACUUCAUAUCGCUUGGAGCAGCCAUCUCAUAUAUGUAUUCCCUUAUGUUAUUUUACUACCAGUCUUUGUUUGGGUUUUUCUUGAUGCUUGUCUGAAAGUAAUAAAAGUAGAGCCACUGGUGGGAUUGUAGCCAGUGGGCUAACUGACGUGGCAUUGGUAUGAUGGAGUUAUGGAUUUCAAUUUUGUUAUAAAUUUGAGUUUAUCUUAUAACAUAAGUUCUUAUAGAAGUGUUUGAUAGAACUUAUGUACGUAUCUUAUGGCCUACCUAUAAGUUGUUUGAAUAUAUUAAUCCCUGUGUACUCAGUAGAAUGAGGGUAUAUAAAUCCCUGUACAAGUUGAGCUCUUUCACAGAUAUAGAAUUAGUUAGAGCCUGAAUACAGAAACUAACCAACUAAGGGUCUAUUCACAUAAUAAAUAGUCAGCUAGUAAUGACCAAGGAUAUUGCAUACUCUAACA